AGAGGUAGAAAUAGAGACACAGGUUGAACUCAUCUUGGUGCUCAUUAAAAUUCUAUUCAAAUUGCUAUUGUUUCGGCAUCCCUUUGAUAUCCAGGCGUGAUGUGCAGUUCACAGGAUUUUUACAAAAAAACAGGUGCUGAAUUUUUCACAGAUUCAUUGUUUUCUAACUUCAAACCUGUCAUAUUGUGUAGUUUUAGCACUGAAAUUGAAAUUCUUUAACUGGAUUUCUCUAAUCUGGUGAUCUGUUGUUUAUAUUUCCUUCUUGUGGUACCAUACCCAAAUGGUAUAUAUAUACCUAUCAAUCCAUUAAAAUAAGGUUUGAGUAGUUCUUAUACAGUGAUGUUGAGAUGGUGUGACCUUUGCUAUAAAUUUAGAAAUUAACUUUUGUCGUUUUAUAAACUAUUUGAUUAUUUUAUAAUAUAAACCUUUUAAAAUUUAACCAUAAUGCCCAAUGCAAGAAUGCAUGGAAUGAACAGAAGUUUUUGCUGCUCAUUUAUUUCUAAUAUAACAUAGAGUUAUAAUGAGAAAAAAUGCUGUAUUUAUUAUAGUAUAUUAAUAAUUGUUUAUCUUAUGAAGUCUAUUUCAUAUUUCUGCACGUGUUCUUUUUCUUGGAUCGACAGAUUUUCAUGGCCAUAUUUUGGUUGAUAUAAAAAAUUGAUUGUGUGCUCAAACCGACUGGUUUUCUUGUUCACUUUGAUCUUAGCCUUUGUUACGUUUUCUACUAUUUCUAUCAAUUUUUGACGUUUUUUAGCAUUUAUAAAUAAAACACAUCUGAUCUUUACC